GUUUACAGCCAUACCACCCUGAACAUGCCCGAUCUCGUCUGACCUCGGAAGCUAAGCAGGGUCGGAUCUGGUGAGUACUUGGAUGGUAGACUGCCUGGGAAUACUGGGUGCUGUAGGCU
rnacentral:rRNA from 1 species